GGAUAAGUUAAAAAUGUGGGAUGUGCCAUGAUGGACACAGCAACCAUGUCCUGUGUGGAAUUUUGGCUUUGCCUGUAUGGUCCAUCGUUGGAAUGUUUUAAAGCUGUGUUAGAACUCUGACCAUGCCGCAGGUGCUCACUCAGCAACCCUUUCUCUCUUGUCUUGGUAUAGGCUGCUCCUCUAAAAAAUUCAAGCUGUACUCCCCAAAGGAGCCACCCAACGGUAGUGCCUUUCCCCCUUCCACCCAGGCACCAUGCUGGACAGAGAUGUGGGCCCCACACCAAUGUACCCUCCUACAUACUUGGAGCCGGGAAUAGGGAGGCACACACCGUAUGGGAACCAGACAGACUACAGAAUAUUUGAGCUUAAUAAACGGCUACAGAACUGGACAGGGCUGUCACUUUUGUAAAAAAAAAAAAA